rnacentral:rRNA from 1 species
GAUGAACGCUAGCGGCAGGCCUAAUACAUGCAAGUCGGACGGGAUUCAGGAGCUUGCUUCUGAUGAGAGUGGCGCACGGGUGCGUAACACGUAUGUAACCUACCUUUAUCAGGGGGAUAGCCUCUCGAAAGAGAGAUUAAGCCCGCAUAAAAUCACAGCACAGCAUUGUGUAAUGAUCAAAUAUUUAUAGGAUAAAGAUGGGCAUGCGGAACAUUAGCUAGAUGGCGGGGUAACGGCCCACCAUGGCGACGAUGUUUAGGGGAUCUGAGAGGAUGGCCCCCCACACUGGUACUGAGACACGGACCAGACUCCUACGGGAGGCAGCAGUAAGGAAUAUAGGUCAAUGGGCGGAAGCCUGAACCAGCCAUGCCGCGUGCAGGAAGACGGCCCUACGGGUUGUAAACUGCUUUUAUACGGGAAUAAACCCAGAUACGUGUAUCUGGCUGAAUGUACUGUAAGAAUAAGGAUCGGCUAACUCCGUG